GGAACCGUUAACCGGCAAUUCAAGAUGAAAAAAAUUAACAAUUUGCAAUAUAGAUAAUUAUACAUAUUACAUAUGGAUUUGUCGGUAAAAGUUAAUCGAGAAAAACUGUGUAACAACGUGAUUUGGCCGUAAAUCGGAAAUUAUAAAUGAUAAAAAUUUUACAAUUUGUACUCUAGAUUUUAUAUGGCUUUCUCGCCAAAGGUUAAUCGGAUAAGACUGUGUGAAAUCGUGGUAUGACCGUUUACCGGAAAUUCAAGAUGAAAAAAAUUUUCCAAUUUGCG